AGGAGCCAAAAAAGAUUUCAAAAAGGACAAAUAAAGGAAUCAAGUUCUUGAUUCAAGGAUUAACUAAAUGACUUCAAAGUUUUCCAAAUGUAAAGAAGUCCAAGGGUUGAGUGUGAUCACACGGUAAAAAAUCAUGAAGGUUAGGAAUGAACAGAAAUUGUGCAGCACAUUCUAUCAUGAAAGUAAGAGGGCUUCUCUGAAAGCUCAAAGAGUGUUAUUUUAGGAAAAAUAGGGGGACUAUUUUACAUGGUGGGUAAGGACAGGAGUGGAGUAAGGAUGGAGGAGAAGGAAGGCAUGCCACAGUGACAAGCUGAGAGUGGUGAGCUCUGUGAUUGGGACUCAUUUUUCCCCACCCCUUCCCAUUAUUCUCUGCAGAUCUCUGUCCCACAGCUGCACUAGGGCAAGAAAACCUCAUUACCAGCAAAGUGCCCACCACCAGCCCUAUCUGGUAACGUCAGGGCAGUACUGGAGCCUUGAUGGGGAGUGCAGAGAAAUAUUAACACAUACUAGUAGGCUGCCCAAGCUCAGUAACUUUGCUCACUCCACUCUUACCUCCCCUGCCUCUGGGCACUAAAUAAUUAUGUCCUGGAAAAGAGAGGGUACUGGGAAAUCAUUAGAAGGGACAAGACCAUCUGGUUGAGGUGGGGAGUGGGAUUGAGUCCAGAUUGCAACAUUGGGGGCUCCUCUGCUUGUCUUCCCCCAAACUCUUCAGGAGUGGCACUAGUUCCCAACCCUUUCCCCAGCUAUUCUCUACAAGCCCAGUUAGAUGAAAAUGUUAAGGGCAUAAGAAUGAGUCCAUAAGUAAAGAUAAUAAGAUGUAGGAGUCCAGGCAUUGUGAAAGAACAACAGCAAGCUCAGCAAAUGUAAAUGUGAGAAGGAGCAGGACAAGAAAUUAAAAUGAGCACGGUAAAUAGUCUCAGGUAAGGAAAGGUAUUGGGAGGCCAGAAGCAAAAACAAGCAGUUACAGAAAAAUUGGAGACAUUAGGAAAAUCAAACAUUCUUGAAUUAAAAGUUUCCAUGGUUGGGCUGGACAACAAACUGGGUAUAUCUAAAUAACAAGGAUGUGAGAGCAAUGGGUCAGGAAAUUAACUCUUUCACCAGGAAAGGGUAAAGAGAUGCAAAGAAUGACAAUUUCAGAGGCAUGGAGGACAGAAGGAAAAGGGCCAGUAUCUGCAUAAGGGAAUCCCAAGACAGUGAAAUUUGCAAACUGAAGGAAGAAAGUGCUGAAGAAAUAACUGCAACUUUAGUUCUGCUUUUUUUAAACUGACUGCUGAAUUCAUUAUUUCAGCAUUUAUGCUGUGCCAACUCUAUGCAAUGCAUAAAGCAAGGUUCCUGUGUUGUCCUGAAGCUUAAAUUUUAGUCAGCUACACGCAGACAAUAAGUAACUAAACAAAACAGUACUGAGUAGUGACAGGUGCUAUACUGACAAUAAAACUAGGUGGUGUGACACAGGGUUUUGGGGCAGGAAGGGCCCAUUUAAGUUGGUGCUCAGGGAAGUCUCUGAAGAGGUGGAAUUUAAGCUGAGGCUUAAAUGCCAAGAAGGACCCAGCUGUGUGAAGACAGGUGUCAGGAGCAUCCUGGGUGGAGGGAAUGAGCUUGACGUGUUCAAAGUGCAGAAGGAAGAUAGUAUAGCAGGAUCUUGGAGAUCCAGGAUGGGUGGAGCCAGACAAGGCUGAAAGCGUAACCAGAAAUCAGAUCAUGUAGAACUGUGUAAACUAUGGUAAAGAUGGGAGUGGGUUAAUGAAAAAAACUGAAUUAUAGCAUCAGUAUAAAGCAAUGUGUUUUUAUUAUCUUCAAUUAUAUUAGACUAAGCAAUAGGAAAUGGACAAUAUUCAACUCUCUUUGACCUUCACAAACAGAACUUGCCUAGUUCACACUAAGCAAGUACGCGUCCAAGGACCCUGGCCUUUUUAAAGGAUGUUUGCAUGAUCCCGUCAUCUAUUAUUAACACCUGAAUUUCUCAUGUGAAAAAGAGGAGGUAAGUGUUAAAAAAAGAAACUAAAAGUUUGUGUUUGGUGGUAAAACAGAUAUCUUGUUUGCAUUCACAAUAGGAUCCAUUUUGAUAUAUUUUCACUCAGAUUUGACAGAUAUUUUCAGGCCUUACCAUGUGCCAGCUGUGGCUUGUUCACUACCAGGACUGCAAAGAUGAGUAAGUCAUGGGCCCUGCUACAGCAGGUCAUGGGUGACCGUAGAUCACUGCCAAGAUAAACUUGGUAUUCCCAGGUUCCCUUGGGAAUACUAGUGGGGCAGGUCAUACCAGGUAGAUGUUACUGAAUCUUAAUAAAAGAGGCAUCCAGAAAGGAAGCGAGCAUUUGUUACUGACAUGAUUUCUCACUGCGGUUGGUGAAUAAAACUAUGGAAGAGAUGGCUACUGGGCUCCCUGAGAGACUAAAGUUUAGAGGAAGAGAACACCCAGUGUUCUACCAAAAAUUUAGAAUCCAUGGACCAAAAUACCUAAAUAGAUAGAGGUGUGAUUUUUUUUUUCCUUUGGGGGGCUAUUCUAGCUUGCUUCCUAGUUUUCCCUUUUUCUAGGGCUUGGAGGAGAGAUGUCAAAUAAUGGUUUAGCCAAAGAAACCCCGCUUUGUCCAGGGAGGGAACUUGGAGCAUGAUCAAGGACAGCUCUACCAGAAACAGGGCAGUGGUCAUGAUGUGAAAUCCAAGUACCUUUUACUGUAACUGUUUCACUUUCCUCAUUAAAGACUCCAACAUUUCUCCCACAAGUUCUCCAAUGAGGCAUUUGAUUCCACUGUCACAAGUUCUGGUCAUGACUGACUCUGUGGCCUCCUGCAAGGUGCACUGUAUCUCUGGGCCUCCCUGCUCUUACCUUCAAUCUCAUGGUGUGAUGAGGUUAACCCUGUUAGCUCUAAAAUGUGAUGCCUGCAGUAUACAGAAGACUCAUUGAGUAUCUAGCACAAUAUUACCAUUUCGUGGAGUAUGGUAUUCUAAUAAUACUAAGGCCAACCCUUGAAUUUUGAUUUAUAAACUCUAGACCUUGGGUUUUACAGCAAAAGGAGUAAGUUGCUAUAAUUGUCCAGCUUAUGGACAAAUAGGGUUCUCUUAGCUGUCCACGUCUGGGAAAGGGAGCUGGUUGGCAGAAAGGGAGCAAACAGAACUAAGGCCACACAUUCUUAUAUGCAAAUGAGCGGCAAAUGCGUCACAUCCCGCAAUCUUUCUUCUUUUGUUAAUAAAUUCAGGCCCAGUCAUUAAGAGGUGGUCACCUCACAAGAUUUUCCAUGCUGGAGGUGGAAGGAAUCACUGGAACAUUUAUAUUCUAGCUCCUGUGGUAAACCUUCCCUCCCAGCCCUUGAGCCAGUGAGUCACUUCCUCUGUUCAAGCCUCCACAGCUUCCUCUCUUUCCCAGCCCUGGCCUGGCCCUCUGGAGAGGAGUCUGGGCUGUUGGGUAGAAAGAGAGGCAACAUAUAUCCUUCAGGCAGCCAACAUACCUUGGAUUACUUUGAAAUAUCAGAGAAGGAUCCUCCACAUGGGAGAAAGUAUGUGGUCUGGCACUUGUGUGAUUUCACUUACUGGAGGGGUCUGUUAUUGCAGCUGCUAAAAGGUUGGUGAUCUUUGGAAAUAGAGGAAUGUCUUCCUUUUUCACUAAACCUUGGCUAUUCUACAGCACUGUGAAAGAUAUUGGAUACAUACCUAGCUUCAGGUGAUGGGUUUUGAGGAAGAGGUAAGUGGUUCCAAACAGAGUUUGGGUUUAAACUCCAUAUAUUAUUCCCAACACUGUGUUGAUUUGAUGGGAACUUACAUACAGAUUUUUAGAAGUUACGUAAUUCUUGUCUUAGUGCCUCCAUGAAAAGCAGCAUAGAAUCAACAGGUGUUUUGUUUUGCGGCAUUACAACGACUUGAGGGUUGACCCACUAACACGCAGAACUCUGGCUCAUUUAAUGAUCUGAAAAUAAUGAUGCGAGGCUGCAGAAGCAGCUGCCAAUGCCCCUCCCUUGCCCCUUAGCAUCUAUAACCCUGGAGGCUGUUUCCUCCCAACUGUCUGCCAUUUUCUGUCCCCAAUCCUGGAGUGUUAAUGCCCUUGGCAGCAGCCUCAACCAAAGAGGGAUAGGGAGUUGGUGGGUAAGUGCUCAGCUUCCUCCUGCCUUGAGUGGCAUAUCUCUGUGGGGCAUCCUCCUCUGUCUCCUGGAGUUCCCAGAUGCAGUGUGCUCCAGUCACCCACAGUGGUCAUCGUGGUAACACCCCAUGAUUGGCUUCCUUCCCUUCCUGCCUUCCCCGUUUAUCUUCUGGUGUCUCAGGAUCCUCUCCCAAAUACACUUGUACUAGAAGCCUUGCCUCAGGGUCUGUUUCUGGGGGACUCCAAACUAAGAUACAUACUUAAAGGGAAUCAGGCCACAUGCAAAAAAUAAUGGCUAACAUUUAUUAAGCACUUACUAUGUGACACACCAUUCUAAGCUCAUCACUUAAUCCUCACAACAUCUUUUGGAACUAUUAACACCUCCAGUUUACAGAUGAGGCAUGUGAGGCAUAGAGAGAAUUCAUCUCUUUUCUGAUCCCACAUAGCUAAUGGGUCAGGAGGAAUUUAAGCUUAGACUAUUUAACUCAAGUGUCCAUGAUUUUAAUCCAUACGUCUGAUGACAGCAUAUCAGGUUACUUCAUGUAACUUCACUGGCACACAUUUAAUAGGCUUUAGGAGGGCAUUUUGCUAGUAGUGGAGCUGAUAGAUUUUUUUCUUUCUUUUUCUUUUGCCAUCUAUUAGCAAUAACAAUGUUGCCUAACUUGGACAGUGCACUCAUCCAACUGAAAUCCGAGUCACUGCAAGAAGCUUUUAUUUUUUUCCAACCACAUCAAGAAAUUUUUCUCCUGGCUCUUCUAAAAUGUAGUCUGUUAUUGCAGCUAGCUACUGUUCCUGUUGUUUCUGUCAAAACUAGCUGCCCAGCUCACAAUUUAUUGUAUAAUAAGGGUCACAUUUAUGCCCUAAUAACCAGCUGAAUGGAUCCAGGGUUUUAGCUGGUCAUGAUGUGUGAGGCAUGUUCAUUGCUGUUUUGACACAUUUCACAGGCUGUGGAGUCUGACCCUUACUUGAACUGAAAUAUUCUUCCAGCUGCUGACCCUAUCAACUUUUUUCUUUGUUACAAGGCAAAAUGCCCUUCUCCUAGUCCAGCUGCUGGUCUUUGGAAAGAGUAAAACAAGUGUUUUGUGGCUCCUAGAAAAUGUUAUAAAAUUGUUUCCCAAGUUGUAAAAUUCUUGUUUUGGUUGAAAACUUGUCCAAAAAUAACAGAGCCAAUGGUCAGCCAUUAUUUCAGGGGGAAAAAAAAAUCUUGUGAUUAGCUAGGGAUUGUUAUCUUCCUUUCUACUGAAAUAGAGACCAAGUCUCCAGCUGGGUCUAAACUAUUUUUGAGAUAAAUGUCUUUCUUUAGAGAGAUACACUUUAACUUACUGGCUGACUUCCAUGGUUUUUGAAAUGUCCCCAUAAAACUUCAGAAGGCAUUUUAACUUUAUAAGGCAAUUUAUCAUAAAUUAAUUUUCAGAAACUUUGUGAGCCAACUUGAAAUCAAAACCGUCUUCUCAGGCUGUCUAAUUCUAGUCUAAUUUUUCUUAAUUGAGCAUUUAAACUUAGGGUACCAUUUUAAGUAAUAUGGGAGGACUGAUUCUCUUCUUUGAGCUAUCUUGCAGAGACUGAAGAAAAGACAUCAAAAGUUUCUCUCCAUCGAUUUCAGUCCCUGGAGAGAAUCCUACUCAAGAUCAUGCACUACAUUUGUGUCAAGGCUCUAACUGGUGCCCAUAAGUCUAAAACCACAGGGAACACAACUGUCAUCAAACAAAUCUGGUCCUGGGAGGAUGAUACACCUUUGGUGCAGAGCUGCCCCACCUGAUUGGAAGACCUGCAGCUUGGAGGAGAGCUAUCCAGCUGACCUGCAGACCUGGGAGUGUGGUGAUAAAUAUUUCUUGUAUGCCACUUAGUUUUGGGGUCAGUUUGUUCUGUAGCAAUAUCUGACCAAUACAUGAUGUCAAAUGGAAUGAAUGAUUUUCUAACUCUUGUCUAACCUUGGUUUUGUUCUCCAGAAAGACUGAAACAUAUUUACCAUGCCAUCAGCAUGGUAUAUAUGUACCUACAAAAUAUAACCAUGUGGCUGUCCUCAUUUGAUCAUAAAAUCUAGUUUUAAAAAUGGUUUAAGAAAAGAAACACCACCAGCACAACUUCAGACCAGCCUGAAUCCAUUCCACACUGGAUCCAUUAUCUUAGAGUCUUUUUAGAAAAAUAAUAAACCAUAAUAAACUCAACAAGUGAUUUUCUUGAUCUUUGAUAACUAUAACUUUAAUUUGUAGAAUAGUAUGUGCAAUCCAUAUAGCUGUUUAUUACAUGGUACUGCUAAUCCUUAUUUUUAUGAAAACAGCCUUUUAAAAAUGAUUUUUUAAAUUGGAGAUAUGAAAAA